rnacentral:rRNA from 1 species
AAGCGCUUGCAGCCAGACUUGCACGCGGUUGAUCAUCUGGUGUUCUCACCAGUGCACUCUGCCGCGUUCAGGCCAGCAUCGGUUUUGGUGGUUGGAUAAAGGCCUAGGGAAUGUGGCUCCUCUCGGGGAGUGUUAUAGCCCUAGGUGCAAUGCAGCCCACCGGGACCGAGGACCGCGCUUCGGCUAGGAUGCUGGCGUAAUGGCUGUAAGCGA